rnacentral:rRNA from 1 species
AUGAACGCUAGCUACAGGCUUAACACAUGCAAGUCGAGGGGCAGCAUGGUCUUAGCUUGCUAAGGCCGAUGGCGACCGGCGCACGGGUGAGUAACACGUAUCCAACCUGCCGUCUACUCUUGGACAGCCUUCUGAAAGGAAGAUUAAUACAAGAUGGCAUCAUGAGUCCGCAUGUUCACAUGAUUAAAGGUAUUCCGGUAGACGAUGGGGAUGCGUUCCAUUAGAUAGUAGGCGGGGUAACGGCCCACCUAGUCUUCGAUGGAUAGGGGUUCUGAGAGGAAGGUCCCCCACAUUGGAACUGAGACACGGUCCAAACUCCUACGGGAGGCAGCAGUGAGGAAUAUUGGUCAAUGGGCGAGAGCCUGAACCAGCCAAGUAGCGUGAAGGAUGACUGCCCUAUGGGUUGUAAACUUCUUUUAUAAAGGAAUAAAGUCGGGUAUGCAUACCCGUUUGCAUGUACUUUAUGAAUAAGGAUCGGCUAACUCCGUGCCAGCAGCCGCGGUAAUACGGAGGAUCCGAGCGUUAUCCGGAUUUAUUGGGUUUAAAGGGAGCGUAGAUGGAUGUUUAAGUCAGUUGUGAAAGUUUGCGGCUCAACCGUAAAAUUGCAGUUGAUACUGGAUAUCUUGAGUGCAGUUGAGGCAGGCGGAAUUCGUGGUGUAGCGGUGAAAUGCUUAGAUAUCACGAAGAACUCCGAUUGCGAAGGCAGCCUGCUAAGCUGCAACUGACAUUGAGGCUCGAAAGUGUGGGUAUCAAACAGGAUUAGAUACCCUGGUAGUCCACACGGUAAACGAUGAAUACUCGCUGUUUGCGAUAUACUGCAAGCGGCCAAGCGAAAGCGUUAAGUAUUCCACCUGGGGAGUACGCCGGCAACGGUGAAACUCAAAGGAAUUGACGGGGGCCCGCACAAGCGGAGGAACAUGUGGUUUAAUUCGAUGAUACGCGAGGAACCUUACCCGGGCUUAAAUUGCAGAUGAAUUACGGUGAAAGCCGUAAGCCGCAAGGCAUCUGUGAAGGUGCUGCAUGGUUGUCGUCAGCUCGUGCCGUGAGGUGUCGGCUUAAGUGCCAUAACGAGCGCAACCCUUGUUGUCAGUUACUAACAGGUUCCGCUGAGGACUCUGACAAGACUGCCAUCGUAAGAUGUGAGGAAGGUGGGGAUGACGUCAAAUCAGCACGGCCCUUACGUCCGGGGCUACACACGUGUUACAAUGGGGGGUACAGAGGGCCGCUACCACGCGAGUGGAUGCCAAUCCCCGAAACCUCUCUCAGUUCGGACUGGAGUCUGCAACCCGACUCCACGAAGCUGGAUUCGCUAGUAAUCGCGCAUCAGCCACGGCGCGGUGAAUACGUUCCCGGGCCUUGUACACACCGCCCGUCAAGCCAUGGGAGCCGGGGGUACCUGAAGUGCGUAACCGCGAGGAGCGCCCUAGGGUAAAACUGGUGACUGGGGCU